GCCCUUGUAGCUCAGUGGUAGAGCGCUCCCUUGAUAAGGGAGGGGUCACGUGUUCAAUCCACGUCGAGGGUACCA
rnacentral:tRNA from 1 species